CCCUCUAUGCCAGGUAUUUCACACGCAAAACGGAAUGGUGGCUGCCACCUGCCUAUCCUGUAUCCGAGGUUAGGUGCCCUGGAAAAUGAAAUAAGAGCGAUGUAAAUACUGUGUUCAAAGAGCUAUACACAACCAUGAAGUGGCCCGGAAGCUGGGUAUGGGCUUCAGAUGCGCAUGCAGAGGCUGGGCUCACCAGGAUCUCCAUCAAUAUCAAUGGUGUAAGACCACAUUAUUCAUGGCUGCUGCUGAAAUGAGCACACUACCACAUCUUCCUAUGAAAGACCAUGUGAUGAUCUGGCAGGUGAGAAAUUAUUAAAUCUUGAAUUUGAAAUGCUGGGCCAUUAUGAAACCACGUACUUCAAACAAGGGUGGAAUCCACUCAAACUAUAUCUUCCUUCAGGAGAUAAAAUAGCAUGUAGGUUUCAAUAUUCAAGUGUUUUCAGAAGCCUUGAGAACUGAACACCUGCAGUUAUUCACACGUGAACCUUGCCUUCACAGUGGAAAUACAUCAAUCGCAUUGUUUAUGGAAAUAGUAUUCUGUUGAACCACAGUUAAUUACUUUUGGAGUUCUGCAUUGAAAGAUACACAGCAUUUAAUACUAGCAUUUGGAAAAUAAAAAUUCAUUAUCUGCCUUUCAA